AGUUAGUUGUUGAGGUAAUAGCUCAACAAGGCAAUGAUGGGUAGUCGGUCUGAGAGGAUGACCGGCCACACUGGGACUGAGAUACGGCCCAGACUCCUACGGGAGGCAGCAGUGGGGAAUAUUGGACAAUGGGCGAAAGCCUGAUCCAGCAAUGCCGCGUGAAUGAUGAAGGCUUUAACCGGUCGUAAAGUUCUUUUGUCAGGGAAGAUUAUGACGGUACCUGAAGAAUAAGCACCGACUAACUAUGUGCCAGCAGUCGCGGUAAUACAUAGGGUGCUAGCGUUACUCGGAAUUACUGGGCGUAAAGGGUGCGUAGGCUGAUUUGUAAGUUGUAUGUUUAAUCCUCGGGCUUAACCUGAGAUCUGCGUACAAUACUGCAAGUCUAGAGUAUAAUUGAAGAUGAUAGAAUUUCUGGUGUAGGGGUAAAAUCCGUAGAUAUCAGAAGGAAUACCGAAAGCGAAAGCAGUCAUCUAAGUUAUUACUGACGCUGAGGCACGAAAGCGUGGGGAGCAAAUAGGAUUAGAUACCCUAGUAGUCCACGCCGUAAACGAUGAGUGUUGAAUGUUGGAUAUUUUUUGUCUAAUGUUUAAGCUAACGCGUUAAACACUCCGCCUGAGUAUUACGGUCGCAAGACUAAAACUCAAAGGAAUUGACGGGGGCCUACACAAGCGGUGGAGCAUCUGGUUUAAUUCGAUUCUAACCGAAGAACCUUACCAGUUUUUGACAUUGUGGUUUUAAGACCUGGAAACAGGCUUUUGAUUCGUUCGGCCACAACAGGGAUGCAUGGCUGUCGUCAGCUCGUGUCAUGAGAUGUUUGGUUAAGUCCAUUAACGAGCGCAACCCUUGUCUGUAUUUGCUAGCAGGUUAAGCUGAGAACUAUACAGAGAUUGCCGGUGUUAAAUCGGAUGAAAGAGAGGAUGAGGUCAAGUCAUCAUGUCCUUUAUGGACUGGGCUACACAGGUGCUACAAUGGCGCUAACAAUAAGAAGCAAAGAGGUGACUCAGAGCAAAUCUAGAAAAAGCGUCUUAGUACAGAUUGCAGACUGCAACUCGUCUGCAUGAAGACGGAAUCGCUAGUAAUCGCAAAUCAGAAUGUUGCGGUGAAUACGUUCCUAGGCCUUGUACACACUGCCCGUCAGACCAUGGGAAUCGGUCUUUCCUUAACUUGGUGAGCUAACCCGCAAGGGAGGCAACUAACAACGGGGAGGCUGGUGACUGGGGUUAAGUCGGAACAAGGUAGCCGUAGGGGAAUCUGCGGCUG
rnacentral:rRNA from 1 species